rnacentral:lncRNA from 1 species
AUAUAUAUAUAUAUAUAUAUAUAUAUAUAUAUAUAUAUAUAUAUAUAUAUAUAUAUAUACAUAUAUAUAUACAUAUAUAUAUACACAAAUAUAUAUACUUGCAUCCAUAAAUAUCUAUGGAACUAAUUGCUGCUAAUUUGCCUUCUUAUAAUCAAACAAUUAUUUUACUUCCUCAGUGUACUGAUCUUUCACACUACGUUUAUUCAUACAAUCCCUUUCAAAUGUUGAAAAGAGCAACAUCUGAUCAAAAGAUGCAAUAACAUACGAAACACUAAUGAAUAAUAUAGUCUUAAGUCAUUUCCAUGUUCAAACUUUCCUCGAGUCCUUUUGGCAUUCGCCUCUUUACAGCACUGAAAUGUUCCUUCGAUUAUUUUCGAAAUCAGCUUAUUGCCUUCCCAUUUGACUUACCCUGAUGCAGAAUUGCUCCUUUCAGAGUUCUUAUAAAAUAUGGAUAUGUUCAUUCUAGAUGGAGGAAAAGGGUUGUAAAAGAUAUAGAGUUCAAUGCAAUAUAGUGUGCUAUGUGCCCUGUAUACAACCUAUCCACUAUAUGUUAUAUACUUCAGUAUACUUAAAGGUGUAUGAUAAUCUCUUUUUUUAUUCAUAACUAUUUCAGAGCAUGUUUUAAUAUUUGUGGCAUUGUGAUGUUUUUUUACUGUUACGUUAUCUGCCUGCAUCGGUGACUGAUGAAUAACUAUUGUUUUGUAAAUCAUUAUUUAACUAAAAUACAAUAUAGUAUUAGUAUUGCAAUUCUUUAAAUCUCUUUGGACUCCAAUAUUCUUUACAAAAUUGUUAAUCUUACUGCGCUGCUCUAGUUAUUUCCUGUUAGUAUAAUAUGUUAUAUUAGUAUAAUAUGUUAAUAAAUAUGUUAGUAACAUAUUUACCAGAUUUUAUUGUUCAAUUUAGUCCGCUAUUUAACACCACGAUUAUGUAUUUUUAUAACACCAUGUAAUAGCACAUAAUAAAUUUAGAAUACACAUUAA